UAUCCCCCAAUGACGAUCCCCAAUUUCAGGCGUCGCCCAUCGCUGGGUGCUUCUCCGCCAUCGCCCGUAUAACCCCACCCAAUCCCUCGCUCGCUCGCCGGGAUCCAAGGUGGCCGCGGCGGCCGGGAGCAGACGCGCGCGGGAGGAGUAGUUCGGGUCCGCGCCGCUGCCCUUUGCCUCUGCCACCAACGCCGCCUGCGCCGCCGCCCUUUGCCACCGCCACCACCGCCGUCCGCGCCACCGCCCUUUGCCGUCGCCACCACCGCCGUCCCCUCCGCCGCCACCACCACCGUCCCCUCCGCCGCCACCACCACCGUCCAAACCGCUCUCGGCCGUUGCCGGGGAUCCCGGCCGCGCAGCAAAUCCAGCGCAAAGGAUCUCAAGGCCUGCCGCCCUGCCCGGUGCACCCAUCCAUAGGCACAUGUUCUCCAUAGUUCCAUUGGAUCCCUUGCCGCCUCUCCUCUUUCCCUCGCUGGAGAAGCCUUUUUCAUCGUGGCUUGCCCUGGAUGCUAGAUUCUGCAAUUCCUCACCUGCAGUAUGGAAGUGCAUCUGCACCUGGGGCGCUAGCUGCUGAUGGCCAUAGAUAACAGCAACGUGUACGAGCGGAAGGCUUUUUCCUGAAGGGAUUGAGAUUACCAGGAUUCAGAUUGGAUCCCUGCUGUGUCAGUGCAGGAGAACUGCUCGAACACGUAGGCAUGACAUGACCGAUGCUGAUUACACCUGGACUGCUUUGACAUAAAAGAUUCCCGGGCCCCUUGACUGAAAUCCUGACUAAAUUGCAAGUUUCCCUUCUUGAAAUUACUGCAUCUGAAGCUUCCAAUCUCACCAACUUCGCUGGAGCACCGUGCGCCCGUGCUCGAGCAGAGGUACCAAUUUUCAGUACUGUUUUUAGGGGCUUCUACGUGAAUCCCAUGCAUGGCUUUGUGGCAUGCAAGACUUUCCUGCUAGACAAGCAAGAAAACAGAGCCAUCACGCUUGCCCUACUGUAGCAGCCUUCAAAGCACCACAGAACAUGGGCUCUCUCAAUGUCAGUUCAUUAGCUGAGCUGAUCUCACAUGCUAACGCCAUGUAAUCUUUUUUCUACAUUCCACAUUUAUGAGUUGGAUUAUAUCGUAGAUUGCAGUUCAGAUCAUUAUCAUGUAUGUUGCUCCUUUGAAAGUUAGACUUCAUAAAGAAGCAAUUUGAUCCGACCACAAUACCUCUGAAUAGAUGCAUCAUGGAUUUGUGGGUUCACCUUCUUAGAAGGUGCAAUUCUGGUGAUGGUGUCAUAAUUGAUAAAUAUAUACAUUGCUUCAUAUGUUGGAUAGUUUUGGCGGCCUUCUUUGUGAGGUACACUUGACUGAUGAGGGCUUAAAAGGGGCCUUGGUUGUCUGUCAACUGAAAACUCUGUUUGUGCACAACCUAUAUCCUCUAUGAGAAGGAACUGGAUGGAGCAAGGUCUAAAUGCCUCAAAUUGCUUAAAGAUAUUCUAUGCUCGGCAAGGAGAUGGAGAGCGAGAAGUAUGGCAGGGUCCUUGAGUGGUAUUCGCUAAAGAAAUACUUGGAGAUCAAAAUCAUUAGAGAGUGAGGCUGCACUCUUAGUGGCAGGCAGAAACAAAGGAUUUAGAUAGCCCGAGCAUUGUAUCAGUAUGCUGACAACUAUUUGUUCCAUGAUCCGUUCAACGCAAUUGAUGCUCAUACAGGAUCCCAAUUUUCCAAGAUCGAUGGUUUCACCGCGGUCGUCGGGAGAAAUAUCAUCAAUGGUAGGGGAAAAGCAGGUAGGCUGAGGCGGGCAACCACACCAAGCGGCCGACCCAAGAAGGCAGCCCUGCAGCUCCGCCUCGUGCCACUCCCCAUCUCUAUGUUUGUGUCAGACCCAGCGCAAGGUAGAGGCAGAAGAGGAGGCCGGGAAGAGAAGCUGCAAGGUAGGAGGCUUUUGAUCUGAAGGCAAGAGUUGGACGAUCUGCUCACAAAGACACACCUUUAUUCUGAAUUUCUACUUGAAAAGAUUGAUCAGUAGCUGAAGUGGAAGAAGAAGAUGAACCUGUAGAAGAGCUGAAAAAAGGACGUGGUAGAAAGAAGGAAGCGAAGCCUAAACAGUAUAAUGAUUACUACCUCGCCCAGCCGCGCAUCCAAGAUGCGACACUUGCUGGAAAGCUGGUCAAGUAGGCCCUCGACUGCGAGUUUUAGCAGAUUGAUCCUGCACAUUAGCCUAAUUGUUACAAUAAACGGACUUACAACAAUGAUGCUUUCUAUAUUGAAUUUUUAUGUUCGACCUCACCAUUGCUUAGUUUCCUUUCCUGAUGUCAAGACACAAAGAAUUUGAGAUUCAAUUUAUCUUUUUUAGUUUUUACACUAGAGUGCUUCAUUUAUAUGUAUUACUGUAGAGUGUAGACACAUGGGAAUCCUCAAGGUGUCAGGUUUGUUCUUAUUAUUGCUCAUGCAACCCUAAACUUCAGUUAAAUGUACUACGUCAGGUUUUAGUGUUUGGAUCAUCAGUACAAAACAGAGUUGAUGGUAUAUGUCAAUUCUGUAUUGGUUCUAGGCAAGUAGGUUGACAUGUUCAUCUGCUAUCAUGAGUGUCGUGUUUACACUUGCAGUUCAGAUAUUAAGCUUAAGCUAAAGAUCUCACUGUACUGUCUAGAGGUGGAACCGGGGAAUGUUGACGCUUUAUUGGUUUUGGUCACAAAAAUGUUAGCUAUACAUGCUUUCAUCUUGAUUAUAUGGACUUCUCAAGUAAUACUACUUCUCAGUUAAUUCAUUGAAGUAAUGAUACAAUCAAUUGGAUAUUUUUCUACGAUUAUGGAUCUAGAGGAAAAAAUGUUGUUUUCACAUCAUUGUUUUAAUCCAAUGUUCAGCUUUAUUGCUAUAAGCUUUACUGCUUUAGACAUUUUCGUAGGAAAUGCUGAACAUUCGUAUCAAUUGAAUCAAUGUGGCCUUACAUGUAGUGCCUUUACUGUUAAAUUUGUAGAUAUCCUAUUUUAUUCAGCAGUAACUUUAUUUUCUUUUCACUUCUUUUUUAUAAAUGUCAUGCU